rnacentral:snoRNA from 1 species
UAGAUUAUACUUUCAGGGAUCCACAGUUCAUUCCUAGAGAAGAUUCUCUGAUGUGUGGAGCACCCGACGCCAUGAGGAGCCAGAGCAUCCUCUCCUGAGUCUGACGCUGGUUCUAGGUGUUGUUGCUUUUGCAACUGCCCUUUAACACUGACGAUCCUUCUUCUCUUCCUUUGAAAGACGGAGAGGAAGAGGUUGCAGUUUGAGUGG